rnacentral:rRNA from 2 species
UACGAAGGGUGCAAGCGUUAAUCGGAAUUACUGGGCGUAAAGCGCGCGUAGGUGGUUCAGCAAGUUGGAGGUGAAAUCCCCGGGCUCAACCUGGGAACUGCCUCCAAAACUACUGAGCUAGAGUACGGUAGAGGGUAGUGGAAUUUCCUGUGUAGCGGUGAAAUGCGUAGAUAUAGGAAGGAACACCAGUGGCGAAGGCGACUACCUGGACUGAUACUGACACUGAGGUGCGAAAGCGUGGGGAGCAAACAGG